UUUCCGUAGGUGAACCUGCGGAAGGAUCAUUCAUAAUAAAGUGUUUUAUGGCACUUUUUAAAAAUCCAUAUCCACCUUGUGUGCAAUGUUAGAUCUCGUCAGUCUUGGCGAGAUUUUUAUACAUCAACUCAUUCUUUAACUAAUUUGUCUGAAAAAUAUUAUGAAUACUUAAUUCAAAAUACAACUUUCAACAACGGAUCUCUUGGCUCUCGCAUCGAUGAAGAACGCGGC
rnacentral:misc_RNA from 1 species